GUUUACGGCCAUGCCACCCUGAACAAGCCCGAUCUCAUCUGAUCUCGGAAGCUAAGCAGGGUCGGGCCUGGUUAGUACUUGGAUGGGAGACCACGUAGGAAGACCAGGUGCUGUAGGCA
rnacentral:rRNA from 1 species